rnacentral:rRNA from 1 species
GACGAACGCUGGCGGCGUGCUUAACACAUGCAAGUCGAACGGAAAGGCCCUGCUGUUGUGGGGUGCUCGAGUGGCGAACGGGUGAGUAACACGUGAGUAACCUGCCCUUGACUUUGGGAUAACUUCAGGAAACUGGGGCUAAUAACGGUUAGGAGCUCCUGCUGCAUGGUGGGGGUUGGAAAGUUUGGGCGGUUGGGGAUGGACUCGCGGCUUAUCGGCUUGUUGGUGGGGUAGUGGCUUACCAAGGCUUUGAUGGGUAGCCGGCCUGGGAGGGGGACCGGCAAAAUUGGGACGGAGAUCGGGCCAAGCCUCCUACGGGGGGCAGCAGGGGGGAAUAUUGACCAAUGGGCGGAAGCCGGAGGCAGCAACGCCGCGUGCGGGAUGACGGCCUUCGGGUGGUAAACCGCUUUCGCCUGGGACGAAGCGGGAGUGACGGUACUGGGUAAAGAAGCACCGGCUAACUACGUG